rnacentral:rRNA from 1 species
ACGUACACUCCUGCGGGAGGCAGCAGUGGGGAAUAUUGGACAAUGGGCGCAAGCCUGAUCCAGCCAUGCCGCGUGAGUGAUGAAGGCCCUAGGGUUGUAAAGCUCUUUUGUGCGGGAAGAUAAUGACGGUACCGCAAGAAUAAGCCCCGGCUAACUUCGUGCCAGCAGCCGCGGUAAUACGAAGGGGGCUAGCGUUGCUCGGAAUCACUGGGCGUAAAGGGUGCGUAGGCGGGUCUUUAAGUCAGGGGUGAAAUCCUGGAGCUCAACUCCAGAACUGCCUUUGAUACUGAAGAUCUUGAGUUCGGGAGAGGUGAGUGGAACUGCGAGUGUAGAGGUGAAAUUCGUAGAUAUUCGCAAGAACACCAGUGGCGAAGGCGGCUCACUGGCCCGAUACUGACGCUGAGGCACGAAAGCGUGGGGAGCAAACAGGAUUAGAUACCCCAGUAGUCCC